UUUUGCAGAAAUUUUCAAAUUUGUGCAACUGUCUUUAAAGUCAGACUUUGUUACCUGCAUCUUUCCAGAAGUCAGUUCCAUUUUCAAGUCCCUCUGAGACAGGAGAGGAUUUGCAUUUCAGCAGAGAUAACAGCGUGUAAAACGAAAGAAGAAACCAUUCCCACUAGAACUGAAGUUUCUUGUGAAAAUAAGCCAGGAUCACCUAUACUUAAUUCAGGAGUGAGGUUCAGUGAUCUCAGCUGAAUCAUCAAGAAACUUUUACAGCUACUGGAGAAAAUUCUGCUUGUCAACUGCGGUAUGUUGAUAUAUCUCAAAUAUUUCAUUUUUGGGGGCAACGAGACUUGCUUUCUU
rnacentral:lncRNA from 1 species